GCCCCGAUAGCUCAGUGGUAGAGCGCCAUCUUGGUAAGAUGGAGGUCCCGGGAUCGAUUCCCGGUCGGGGCUCUG
rnacentral:tRNA from 1 species